rnacentral:misc_RNA from 1 species
GAAACAUCAGGGGCCAACAGAUCGCCAGAUCGUUGAGCUCCAUUGGCGGGAUUUCGCCGUCUACGUUUCUCUUUCUUCGCGGACGAACACGCGCCAGGGGCUGCGCUGUGCGAUUGCAUUCGGCGCUAGUCGCUGCCUGCUCGCGAGCAAGAUCCCUAGUCCUCCGAAGGAUAUGCGUUAGGGGCUUGUAGCUCAGUUGGUUAGAGCGCGCGCUUGAUAAGCGUGAGGUCGGAAGUUCAAGUCUUCCCAGGCCCACCACUUUCAUCGAGUGAGCAUUCGUCUUCUGGUUACGGGGCCAUAGCUCAGCUGGGAGAGCGCGUGCUUUGCAAGCAUGAGGUCGUCGGUUCGAUCCCGUCUGGCUCCACCAGAUGGUUUGAUUGCCGGCGCAGCUUGUACCUAAAUCGUCCGCGAAACAUCACUUCGCACCCACUCGUCCGGAUGGACGGUGAGGUUGCGUGUUUUCUGACAUCGUAAAGAGGAGAUCGAUCCGAGUUGGGUCGUGCAGCAAUUGUUGCGCGGGCCUUCAUUAUCUCCGGAUCAUUUCGGCGCUCGCUUUCGGCCGUGAGGUUGAUUGCGGGUUGUAAAUGAUCCUUUUAGCGAAGCUUGACCGCCUCGCUAUCGGAACGAUCUUACGAAGCAAGCUGGUCUUUCUAGUCAAUGUCCGGCUGCGACAAUCGCAUUCAUCGAGGAUGCGUGCCUUCAAUGGCUGUUGCGCAGACAACAUUCUGCCGAGUGUGUGGACAUUGAUAAUGAGAGCAAUCAAGUGCCUUAAGGGUGUUCGGUGGAUGCCUUGGCGCUGAGAGGCGAUGAAGGACGUGCUACGCUGCGAUAAGC